CUACCACAUCCAAGGAAGGCAGCAGGCGCGCAAAUUACCCACUCCCGGAACGGGGAGGUAGUGACGAAAAAUAACAAUACGGGACUCUUAUGAGACCCCGUAAUUGGAAUGAGUACACUCUAAAUCCUUUCACGAGGACCCAUUGGAGGGCAAGUCUGGUGCCAGCAGCUGCGGUAAUUCCAGCUCCAAUAGCGUAUAUUAAAGUUGUUGCGGUUAAAAAGCUCGUAGUUGGAUCUCAGUUCCAGACGGUCGGUCCGCCGUCCCGGUGGUCACUGGCCGGUCUGAACAGCCCGCCGGUUUCCUUCGAUGAUCUUCACCGGUUGUCUUGGGUGACCGGCAAGUUUACUUUGAAGAAAUUAGAGUGCUCAAAGCAGGCGCGACGCCUGAAUAAUGGUGCAUGGAAUAAUGAAAUAGGACCUCGGUUCUAUUUUGUUGGUUUUCGGAACACGAGGUAAUGAUUAAGAGGGACAGACGGGGGCAUUCGUAUUGCGACGCUAGAGGUGAAAUUCUUGGACCGUCGCAAGACGAACUACUGCGAAAGCAUUUGCCAAGAAUGUUUCCAUUAAUCAAGAACGAAAGUUAGAGGUUCGAAGGCGAUCAGAUACCGCCCUAGUUCUAACCAUAAACGAUGCCAGCCAGCGAUCCGGCUGUGUUCCUCAAAUGACACGCCGGGCAGCUUCCGGGAAACCAAAGCUUUUGGGUUCCGGGGGAAGUAUGGUU
rnacentral:rRNA from 1 species